rnacentral:rRNA from 1 species
GAUGAACGCUAGCGGCAGGCCUAAUACAUGCAAGCCGAACGGCAAGUCUGAUAGCAAUAUUAGACCUAGAGUGGCGUAAGGGUGCGUAACACGUAUGCAAUCUACCUGCAACAGGAGGAUAGCUCGGGGAAACUCGAAUUAACCCUCCAUAAGAUCUUAGACCGGCAUCGGUUAGAGAUUAAAUCUGAGGAGGUUGCGGAUGAGCAUGCGUCUGAUUAGCUAGUUGGCGGGGUAAUGGCCCACCAAGGCGAUGAUCAGUAGGGGAACUGAGAGGUUGAUCCCCCACACUGGCACUGAGAUACGGGCCAGACUCCUACGGGAGGCAGCAGUAGGGAAUAUUGGACAAUGGGUGAAAGCCUGAUCCAGCCAUGCCGCGUGCAGGAAGAAGGCCUUCUGGGUUGUAAACUGCUUUUAUCUGGGGAUAAAAAGGCCUUGCGAGGCAAACUGAAGGUACCAGAUGAAUAAGCCACGGCUAACUACGUGCCAGCA